rnacentral:rRNA from 1 species
AUUAAGAGUUUGAUCCUAGCUCAGGAUGAACGCUGGCGGCGUGGAUAAGGCAUGCAAGUCAAACGACCAGCUCCAGUUCGCAAGAACUGGAGCUGGUAGUGGCGAACGAGGUAGUAACACGUGGGUACAUCCCUUUUAGUCAGGAAUAACCAGUCGAAAGAUUGGAUAAUACUUGAUAGUCUCGCUCAACUUUUUUGGUCGCAAUAUCACUGACGGCGGUAUUGUUAUUAAAAAAGUUGGGCGAGUAAAGAUUUAUUGCUAAAAGAAUGGCCUGCGGAGUAUCAGCUAGUUGGUAAGGUAAUGGCUUACCAAGGCAGUGACGCUUAGGGGGAGUGAGAGCUUGGCCCCCACCGAUGGUACUGCGACACGGACCAUACACCUACGGGUGGCCGCAGCCGAGAAUAUUCGACAAUGGACGAAAGUCUGAUCGAGCGACGCCGCGUGAUGGAUGAAGUCCCUCUGGGACGUAAACAUCUUUUAUGAGGGAGAAAGUUUAUUGAUAGUACCUCAAGAAUAAGGGGUUGCUAAACUCGUGCCAGCAGCAGCGGUAAUACGAGUGCCCCGAGCGUUAUCCGGAAUCAUUGGGCGUAAAGGGUGUGUAGGUGGUUUUGUUAGUCGCUUGUUAAAACCCGGGGCUUAACCUCGGAUGUGCGGGCGAAACGGCAAAGACUUGAGGAUGGCAGGGAUGUAUGGAACUCAUGGAGUAGGGGUGAAAUCCGUUGAUAUCAUGGGGAACACCAAAAGCGAAGGCAGUACAUUGGGCCACUCCUGACACUGAAACACGAAAGCGUGGGUAGCGAAGCAGAUUAGAUACCUGCGUAGUCCACGCCCUAAACGAUGACAACUAGCUAUGCGGAGUAUCGACCCUCUGCGUGGCGUAGCUAACGCGUUAAGUUGUCCGCCUGGGUAGUACGACCGCAAGGUUAAAACUCAAAGGAAUAGACGGGGACUUGCACAAGCAGAGGAUUAUGUGGUUUACCCUUAAGUGGGGUAACGAACGCAACCCUCGUUGUCUGUUACACGUAUCAGGCGAUGGUUGAUAACUUUCUGGAAAAACUUGAGCGGGGAGGAAGGCGAGGAUGACGCCAGGUCAGCAUGUCCCUUUGAUAUCUUGGGCUACACACAUAAUACAAUGGCGGCUACAACGGGCUGCGACGGGGAAACCCCGAGCUAAUCCUAAUAAAAGCCGCCCCAGUUCGGAUUGGGGGCUGAAACUCGACCCCAUGAAGUUGGAUUUGCUAGUAAUCGCGGGUCAGACAUACCGCGGUGAAUACGUUCUCAAGUCUUGUACUCAGACGCCCGUCAACUCAGGGGAGUUGGGAGUACCCGAAGCUUAGCGUAUGCUAAACCACGGUAAACUCAAUGACAAAGAGUAAGUCGU